GAGGGUACAGCUCAGUGGUAGAGAUGCAUGCUUAGCAUGCACAAGGUCCUGGGUUCAAUCCCCAGUACCCCCU
rnacentral:tRNA from 1 species